AUUCAAAUAUCUUAUAAAGAGUAUAACAUUGAAGAUGUUGUUGAAGUAAAUUUACUUUUGAAUA
rnacentral:tRNA from 1 species